GACGAACGCUGGCGGCGUGCUUUACACAUGCAAGUCGGACGAGUGGCGAACGGGUGAGUAACGCAUCGGAACGUACCGAGUAAUGGGGGAUAACUGUUCGAAAGGACAGCUAAUACCGCAUAUUAUUCGAGCGGCCGAUGUCUGAUUAGCUGGUUGGCGGGGUAAAGGCCCACCAAGGCGACGAGCAGUAGCGGGUCUGUGAGGAUGAUCGGCCCCAUUGGGACUGAGACACGGCCCAGACUACGACGGUAGGCAGCAGUGGGGAAGUUUGGACAAUGGGCGAAAGCCUGAUCCAGCCAUGCCGCGUGUCUGAAGAAGGCCUUCGGGUUGUAAAGGACUUUUGGCAGGGAAGCGGUACCUGAAGAAUAAGCACCGGCUAACUACGUGCCAGCCGCCGCGGUAAUUC
rnacentral:rRNA from 1 species